UCCUACGGGACGCAGCAGUGAGGAAUAUUGGUCAAUGGGCGGAAGCCUGAACCAGCCAAGUCGCGUGAGGGAAUAAGGCCCUACGGGUCGUAAACCUCUUUUGCCGGGGAGCAAGGGCCGGGACGCGUCCCGGCCCGGAGAGUACCCGGAGAAAAAGCAUCGGCUAACUCCGUGCCAGCAGCCGCGGUAAUACGUAGGGAGCGAGCGUUAUCCGGAUUCAUUGGGCGUAAAGCGCGCGUAGGCGGCUGCCUAAGCGGAACCUCUAAUCCCGGGGCUCAACCUCGGGCCGGGUUCCGGACUGGGCG
rnacentral:rRNA from 1 species